rnacentral:rRNA from 1 species
AGCGUACACGGUGGAUGCCCUGGCAGUCAGAGGCGAUGAAGGACGUGCUAAUCUGCGAUAAGCGUCGGUAAGGUGAUAUGAACCGUUAUAACCGGCGAUUUCCGAAUGGGGAAACCCAGUGUGUUUCGACACACUAUCAUUAACUGAAUCCAUAGGUUAAUGAGGCGAACCGGGGGAACUGAAACAUCUAAGUACCCCGAGGAAAAGAAAUCAACCGAGAUUCCCCCAGUAGCGGCGAGCGAACGGGGAGCAGCCCAGAGCCUGAAUCAGUGUGUGUGUUAGUGGAAGCGUCUGGAAAGGCGCGCGAUACAGGGUGACAGCCCCGUACACAAAAAUGCACAUGCUGUGAGCUCGAUGAGUAGGGCGGGACACGUGGUAUCCUGUCUGAAUAUGGGGGGACCAUCCUCCAAGGCUAAAUACUCCUGACUGACCGAUAGUGAACCAGUACCGUGAGGGAAAGGCGAAAAGAACCCCGGCGAGGGGAGUGAAAAAGAACCUGAAACCGUGUACGUACAAGCAGUGGGAGCACGCUUAGGCGUGUGACUGCGUACCUUUUGUAUAAUGGGUCAGCGACUUAUAUUCUGUAGCAAGGUUAACCGAAUAGGGGAGCCGAAGGGAAACCGAGUCUUAACUGGGCGUUAAGUUGCAGGGUAUAGACCCGAAACCCGGUGAUCUAGCCAUGGGCAGGUUGAAGGUUGGGUAACACUAACUGGAGGACCGAACCGACUAAUGUUGAAAAAUUAGCGGAUGACUUGUGGCUGGGGGUGAAAGGCCAAUCAAACCGGGAGAUAGCUGGUUCUCCCCGAAAGCUAUUUAGGUAGCGCCUCGUGAAUUCAUCUCCGGGGGUAGAGCACUGUUUCGGCAAGGGGGUCAUCCCGACUUACCAACCCGAUGCAAACUGCGAAUACCGGAGAAUGUUAUCACGGGAGACACACGGCGGGUGCUAACGUCCGUCGUGAAGAGGGAAACAACCCAGACCGCCAGCUAAGGUCCCAAAGUCAUGGUUAAGUGGGAAACGAUGUGGGAAGGCCCAGACAGCCAGGAUGUUGGCUUAGAAGCAGCCAUCAUUUAAAGAAAGCGUAAUAGCUCACUGGUCGAGUCGGCCUGCGCGGAAGAUGUAACGGGGCUAAACCAUGCACCGAAGCUGCGGCAGCGACACUGAUGUGUUGUUGGGUAGGGGAGCGUUCUGUAAGCCUGUGAAGGUGUGCUGUGAGGCAUGCUGGAGGUAUCAGAAGUGCGAAUGCUGACAUAAGUAACGAUAAAGCGGGUGAAAAGCCCGCUCGCCGGAAGACCAAGGGUUCCUGUCCAACGUUAAUCGGGGCAGGGUGAGUCGACCCCUAAGGCGAGGCCGAAAGGCGUAGUCGAUGGGAAACAGGUUAAUAUUCCUGUACUUGGUGUUACUGCGAAGGGGGGACGGAGAAGGCUAUGUUGGCCGGGCGACGGUUGUCCCGGUUUAAGCGUGUAGGCUGGUUUUCCAGGCAAAUCCGGAAAAUCAAGGCUGAGGCGUGAUGACGAGGCACUACGGUGCUGAAGCAACAAAUGCCCUGCUUCCAGGAAAAGCCUCUAAGCAUCAGGUAACAUCAAAUCGUACCCCAAACCGACACAGGUGGUCAGGUAGAGAAUACCAAGGCGCUUGAGAGAACUCGGGUGAAGGAACUAGGCAAAAUGGUGCCGUAACUUCGGGAGAAGGCACGCUGAUAUGUAGGUGAAGUCCCUCGCGGAUGGAGCUGAAAUCAGUCGAAGAUACCAGCUGGCUGCAACUGUUUAUUAAAAACACAGCACUGUGCAAACACGAAAGUGGACGUAUACGGUGUGACGCCUGCCCGGUGCCGGAAGGUUAAUUGAUGGGGUUAGCCGCAAGGCGAAGCUCUUGAUCGAAGCCCCGGUAAACGGCGGCCGUAACUAUAACGGUCCUAAGGUAGCGAAAUUCCUUGUCGGGUAAGUUCCGACCUGCACGAAUGGCGUAAUGAUGGCCAGGCUGUCUCCACCCGAGACUCAGUGAAAUUGAACUCGCUGUGAAGAUGCAGUGUACCCGCGGCAAGACGGAAAGACCCCGUGAACCUUUACUAUAGCUUGACACUGAACAUUGAGCCUUGAUGUGUAGGAUAGGUGGGAGGCUUUGAAGUGUGGACGCCAGUCUGCAUGGAGCCGACCUUGAAAUACCACCCUUUAAUGUUUGAUGUUCUAACGUUGACCCGUAAUCCGGGUUGCGGACAGUGUCUGGUGGGUAGUUUGACUGGGGCGGUCUCCUCCUAAAGAGUAACGGAGGAGCACGAAGGUUGGCUAAUCCUGGUCGGACAUCAGGAGGUUAGUGCAAUGGCAUAAGCCAGCUUGACUGCGAGCGUGACGGCGCGAGCAGGUGCGAAAGCAGGUCAUAGUGAUCCGGUGGUUCUGAAUGGAAGGGCCAUCGCUCAACGGAUAAAAGGUACUCCGGGGAUAACAGGCUGAUACCGCCCAAGAGUUCAUAUCGACGGCGGUGUUUGGCACCUCGAUGUCGGCUCAUCACAUCCUGGGGCUGAAGUAGGUCCCAAGGGUAUGGCUGUUCGCCAUUUAAAGUGGUACGCGAGCUGGGUUUAGAACGUCGUGAGACAGUUCGGUCCCUAUCUGCCGUGGGCGCUGGAGAACUGAGGGGGGCUGCUCCUAGUACGAGAGGACCGGAGUGGACGCAUCACUGGUGUUCGGGUUGUCAUGCCAAUGGCACUGCCCGGUAGCUAAAUGCGGAAGAGAUAAGUGCUGAAAGCAUCUAAGCACGAAACUUGCCCCGAGAUGAGUUCU